GCCAGCAUGAUGUAGUGGUUUGAACAUUGAAUUAUGACUCUGGAGACCAAGGUUCAAAUCCCUGCUCUGCCA